rnacentral:misc_RNA from 1 species
GAAAAUUAUUAUUAGUUUUUAUUAUUUUUUAAAUGCAAGCUCAUUGCAUAAAACAUCAAAGUGCAAUUGAAUCAGAUGAAAGCAUAAAUUUUGUACAAAUCAACCCGAAUCCAUAAAUAGCUCCAACCCCUAGAGUCUAGAGAACCCACGAGUCAACCUUAAUCCUAAUUCCCAAUAGACUCGAAUAGACCCUCCCACUCUUUGCAGCGCCGCCACCUUUUGGACCAACUGGGAGGAACUUCCGGAUAUCUGCAAACAAGAUUUAUUCCAUCGAGGCUUUGCAAGCGUAGAGCAGAAGCCUCCAAGGACAAGACCGAAACCCACAACCCAAGAUUAAACCAUCAUCUCCAGCAAGAAACUCCAAGCUCAAACCACCAACAGCAGAGGAGAGUGGAAAGCAGAGGCCAUGACAUCUCAUUCUCCUCUCGCUAUGAGAAAACUAGCUAAAGACAUGUGAAUGCCGGCUCUAAUCCUUGGAUACGCCUUUCUUGGAAUCCACUUCCAAGUUGCUCGCCUGUUCAACCAUCGAAAUAAAACAGCGAGCGGCGCCAAGAACAAGCAAAGCCACGAAAAACACGGUUCCAUCGUCUCGACAGAUCCGCGUGCAAGAAGUUGAAAACUCGUCUUCAGUUCCAGAUCCCUCCAGCUGCAGCCCAAAUAAAACCAAGCACAAAAAUGUACACAGCCUCAUGUAAAGAUAAGGAGGGGCCCAUGCUCCGGGGAGGAGGAGAAGCCUUCCUUGCCCUGGAGGGCAAGGAACGACUCAAGGUCUCCGAGACAAACGGGUCUGACUACUCGAGAAGGAAAACCUUUUUAGAGGAAUAAACUCUCUCUAGAAGCACCAAGUUUUACAAAAAAAUUUUGUUGCUUGUUUUCAAAAAGCUGCUUUGUUCAUUGUUUUUUUAUAUAUAUGUAGAAAUAUUUUAGUU